CAGUCGCCGCGGGAAUACAGAGGAUGCAAGCGUUAUCCGGAAUUAUUGGGCGUAAAGCGCGCGCAGGUGGUUUAAUAAGUCUGAUGUGAAAGCCCACGGCUCAACCGUGGAGGGUCAUUGGAAACUGUUAAACUUGAGUGCAGGAGAGAAAAGUGGAAUUCCUAGUGUAGCGGUGAAAUGCGUAGAGAUUAGGAGGAACACCAGUGGCGAAGGCGGCUUUUUGGCCUGUAACUGACACUGAGGCGCGAAAGCGUGGGGAGCAAACAGGAUUAGAUACCCCUGUAGUCCCUGUCUCUUAUAC
rnacentral:rRNA from 1 species